rnacentral:rRNA from 1 species
GACGAACGCUGGCGGCGUGCUUAACACAUGCAAGUCGAACGGAAAGGCCCGGGUUUGGUCGGGUGCUCGAGUUGCGAACGGGUGAGUAACACGUGAGUAACCUGCCCGGUACUGGGGGAUAACUACAGGAAACUGUAGCUAAUACCGCAUAGGAACUCCUGCUGCAUGGUGGCGGUUGAAAAGGGUCGGCGGCUGGACUUGGAGUUGGGGCUUAGCUGUUUUUGGGUGGGGUAGUGGCUUAGCCAGGCUUUGACGGGCAGCCGUACUGAGACGGUGACAGGCCCCAUUGGGACUGAGAUACGGGCAAGACUGCUACGGGAGGCAUGGGUGGAGAAUAGAGCAAGAUGGGCGGCAGCAUGAAGGAGCAACGCCGGGUGGGGGAUGACGGUCGUCGGAUUGUAACCCGUGUUAGAGUGUGAAGAAGAGUGAGUGACGGUAAUGGGUAAAGAAGCACCGGCUAACUACGUG